AGCAACAAGGAAGCAAUGCCAUUAAAUCGAAAAGCUGGAUGAGAGGAAAGUUCUGACAAGAGACAAUGAAGCUGAAGAUGGACAGAAUCCCCUGGGGACUCUAUAAAGCAGGAUACAUGUCUCAGAGUUCUCUUCAUCUGAGUGACUGGUCAAGAAGAAAUUCAUAUUCAAAGAGCCAUUGACCACCUCUGAUUAACUUCAGUGAGAGACCUGGGUAAUGAGCAUACAUCCCCAUCAUCAGCUCUGUGUUGCCCCAUUCUUCUUCCUUGCCUUUCCCUGGCCUUCAUUACUUGCUGAAGAUGGGAGAUAUGGAAGCAUCCCCCCCACAUGUAACAGAAGAGCAAGUCCAAGUCUAAGACCACCUCAUGAGACUGAACGUAUUUCAGAAGUCCUAUCCAAUCCAAGUCAUUCUAUGAUUCUGAUUUAAUGAUUUUAUGAUUCACUUUCUCUUAUAGCUGGUUACAGUCAUGGCUUCCCUUUCUCCUUAACUUGGGCAUCUUCUGUCUGCUGGAUGUUAGUGGCAGAGGUUGUAGUUCGCUGGGGAAAGCUGUAAGAGCUGUGGAGAAGAAAUGAGGGAAGAUGUCUAUGGAAGUAAAAGUGGAAGCUGAUGCUUUGUAGUGAUUCUCUGCUGUGCUGGAUAAUCUCUCCUCCUGUGAUAGAAAAACCCCUUGCCAUGGCUACAGCUGCAUACUUUUGCUAAGAAAUAAAUGCAGCCUGCAAGGCCUAUAAGACAAAAUCACUAACAGCAUUAUUGCCUAGCCUGCCAUAGCAAGCCAUCUUUUAGAAGGGAAUUUCGCAGUUGAGUUCAAAUCACCGGGAAUAGACUGCCUCCUGACCACGCUCUUCAUCACCAAAGAUGUAUCUUCAUGGGCAGAUGAUAACAAGCUUAAGCAUUUUCUCAGUGCUGUGGUGCAUGAGCUACACAGUUUAAUAAGCUUGAGUUGUGCUCAAGUGAAUAUUUAGUUGCCUGUAAAAACAUGAUCUGUGAGCAGAAUGAAUUUCAGUUUUUUUCUGCCAUCUUUCCAUCUAGAAUAACCAACAUCAGUCACAUUUGUUUUCCUUUUCAUUUGUCUUAGAGGAUGAAAAGGAAAACAGUAAGAGUGACUGGAGCCCUGUUGACAUGAAUAAUCUUUUUGGUGUUAGCAUCCAGCCAAGUGGGAGAUUAAGUUUAAAUGUUUGAGAAAACAUGUUUAGGUUCAAAUGGAUGGAUAUAUUUAUUUAUCUUAACGUGAUACAUUGGGAGGAACUAGAAACGUUGUAUUCUGUGCAACAAUUUGACCUGAUCUAUAAAAGAGCUCUGUUCCAACACAGGAGAAGCAGAGCGUCUCUGAGCAAAGUGUAUUAUCUGGAAAGGAUGUGUUAGCACAAAAUGCAACUCUGUAUCUUGCCACAACUGUAUUUAGAAUCCACGUGGACCAGAGUCAAGAAAGAUGGUAGCACUGCAAACUAUGACUUAAUUUCACUUGCACAACCUCUUACAGCAUUGUCAGCCUUAUUUCUAACUUGGAAGAAUAGAUGCAGUUUAGUAUGUUACACAGGAAUGCAUGUAAAGGAUGCUUUGUGAAUUUCUGCCCUGUGUAUCAUUGUACACUACCCUUAAUAUUGAUUGUCUCACACAGAGCUUCAUGAGCAAGCCAAAAUGCAGAAAAUGUUACAUUUACAAUGAUACAAAUGAUACAAUUUACAAUGUAUCUGAAAUUCAAUGACAUUUAACAACUGUUGUCAGAAUCAUAAGUCUCUGGUUUAUAUUUUUCUGUGUCUUGCCAGUCUUAGAUUUUUCUUCUUUGACUAACCACUAUUUGCCAGAACAUUACUGGUGAAGCCUAAUGCUUGUACUCCUUGUGACCCUACUGGAUUGUCAUGUCAGAUGUAGCUUCAUUCUCACCAUUGCCAACAGCCUGAGACAGUUUGGAAUGAAGCAGAUCUUGAAGCUUCCAAAAAAUAUGUUUCAUAUAUUAACACUGUCCUUAGAGCAGGGACAUAGACACCUAAUGUUGUACAUAGCUAUUACAAUUUAUAAAUAAUUUAUAUCUGUUAUGAAGCUCAGUUUAAAGAGUCCAGCAUUGUUUUCUCCACAAUUUUACCUAAAUUCUUCAAAAAUGUCUGAAGUGAAUAAGUCUUUUUCAGCAGUAUAUAUCUGGGACAUGGCUAUGCCAGACCUCUAGCUUUGAAGAUGAAGAGGCUGUCUGUUUUCCUGACAUUUUUGCACCUUGUCUGUGUAACUAAACAUUAUCUGGAGAGCUGUCAUCUUCUCCUUUCCAGAGUGAGUGCCUUAAAAAGUAGAAUGAAUAAUCCUUUUAGUUUGCUUCAAAAAUAAUAUAAACUUUUAAUAACAUCUCGAUGCUCACUCAGUAGUGGUGAGUCACUGGGGAAUGCCCAGUGCAGCUCCUACAAAGAGACCGACUUGCAGGAGGAUGCUCUAUGGGACGACCCAGUUAGUCCUCCAAAGGCAUCCACACAGGGGUGUUACAGUCAUUAUUUCUUUUGGUUUACAAAAGGUAUGUUUUUCCAGUGGUGAUUUUGCCCUGAAAAUUUGUACUUAAAGAAACUGUCAUACUUGUCAUAUCUCAGCAAUCACAAAAUCAUCAAGUUGGAAAGACCACUAUGAUCAUCUAGUCCAUCAGUGCCACAUCCACAUGUUUCUUGAACGUCUUCGGGGACAGUGACUCUGCCACCUCCCUGGGCAGCCUGUGCCACUGCCUCACCGCUCUUUCUGAGGAGAAAUUUUUCCUAAUAUCCAACCUGAAUCACCCAUGGUUCAACAUGAGGCCAUUCCCUCUUGUCUUAUUGUUGUAGCUAUUAAAAUGUCUGUGGAGAAAGCACUCAGAAAAGUCAAUGUUUCUACAAUUUGAAAAGAUUUUAAAGAUGAAAUGCUACACUUAAACAUCAGAACUCUUAAACAUUCAGAAAUCUUAAUCAGGAAAAAAUGAAACAGUCAGGUGUUGGAGCACUGUAAUGUUCAGUGGCUGAAGCUAGACGGAACCGAUAAUCAUAUAACUUCUGAAAGGGCAGAUAUUGUUUCUAAAUUAGAUGAUUGUCUUUGUAAGUUUCUUUGCCAUACUUGGUAACUGGCAACUGCUGUUAAGAGUAAUUGGUCUGUCUCUUUAAGCUCCCAGAAACUAUGGUCACCUGAAGGAAAUGGGAAUGUAAUGUUCUCAAAAUGAUUAGCAAAUAAAGUGAGGAAAAUCAUUGUUUCAAAUUGAAUCUUUAACCUACAAUUCUAUCAUGGGUGGCAUUUUUUAUUCUGCCCGUGGCUAUCAUAAAAUCAAAUUAUUUUUCUGUUGUCCAAGAUUUGUUUCAAAUAAAGUAAUAAAGAAAGAAACGAUGGGGCUGGGGGAGAUCUUGCCCAUCUUUCUUUUCCAGGCUCUCUGAUGAAUCAUAGUCACACAUGUCUGAGUAAUCAAUUUCACCAGCACAUUCCCCAAAUUCCCCAGCUGUAACUAAGACAACGCGGCUAGAGAUUGAACAUGCCUUUGAAAAAGGAAUGAACUUAAUUCACCCAGCUCCUUUAC